rnacentral:tRNA from 1 species
GGUAGCUCGUCAGGCUCAUAACCUGAAGGUCGUAGGUUCAAAUCCUACUCCCGCACCCA